CCGACUUUUCCUAAAUCGACCUGGUUCAUCCAUGAUUCAUAAGGGCAAUAGCGAUGAGUGCACAAUGCGGUUUCGAAAUUUUCAGGCCUCAGUCGAUAAAUGCAUAACCUCUGUGGAUGGAAUUCAUAGUGUUGGAAAGAUAAAGUAAACCUCAGAGACAAAAUAAUGUCUGAGAACACUGAACAUAGAUAAUAACCACCGCACAACACUACCAUGUAUAGCUUUGAGAUUGCGAGUUGAAAAGUAAAAUUUCAGACGCAUAUAUACAUCGGCUUUGUAUAGACAUAAAAGUAAUUCAGGCCUUAUUGACCCCAACAGGCCCAGCUCAUAUUAAGGCCCAUUCUAGAAAUGACCCAGCUCGGCUGCAUGAGCUCGUUUCUCUCUCUAGAAUGACAAUUGCUCGUUGCCCCAAGUUGACCUCUCUGUCUCAUGGCAUGCAAAAUCUGAACAAGCUUAAACGACUUUGUAUUAGGGAGUGCAGCCAGCUUGGUCUCUCUGUCGAUGAGAAUGGGAAUGCUCUGCAAUUUCAAGCACUUACGAGCCUCCGAUGUCUAGUGAUCUAUGGAAUCCUGAAACUCAUAUCGCUGCCGGAUUGGCUUCUUCAUCUCACCAUUCUUGAGGUGCUCUACCUCAGUAACUCGAGUAAUCUCGUGGCUUUGCCAGGGUGGAUAGGAGAUCUGCUAUCGCUUAGCAGGCUUGAAAUCAUUCAGUGCGGCAGUUUGAUAACUCUGCUCGAAGAGAUAUCAAAGCUCAAAUCCCUAGAGCGUGUGAGGAUUGCAGGAUGCCCUCGCUUAGAAGAAGCAUGCGUCAAGGAUACAGGAACAGAUUAGCCGAAGAUUGUUCAUCUACAAAUACAUUUCGAGGAGUUGUCUUACUUCGAUAGAAAGGAUGUAACAUUUGAAAUCAUGGGAUGGGAGUGAGAACUCUUGAAUCUACAAGAAGAGACAGUUAUGUACACACAUGUAGGCUGAUAACUCUGUUCAUCCCUAAGGGUCCAAACUGGAGUCAAAGCUCAAUGUUUGGCGCUCUCGACAUGCUUUGUAAAUGUAAAUUUGCCUCAUGAGAUGCCUAAAGAACUUUCGUAAUGUGAAUUUGCCUCGUGAGAUACCUAAAGCAACUUACUUUGAUUCGUAACUCAUUCUGAUUGUCAUAUCAAGUGUGCCCUACAUAAUAAUACAGUUUUCUUGCUUCCUUUCUAUGCAUCAAUUCUGAAAUUAGGCCAAACAGACAUGUCCGGCUAGAUGGAGAAAGUUAUGAAAUCCAGAUCAUUUCUACUGUGCUUCAAAGAGAGCUUUAUAUUUGACUGUAAUGGUGAAUUUUGAUGUAAUGAAUAAAAUAUUUUAAGGUCGUUGGAGACCAGAUUAGAUAGAGAUCUCAUAUUUGUAUACUAUGGUUUAAUCUCAAG